rnacentral:rRNA from 1 species
GUAGGGAAUAUUGGACAAUGGGCGAAAGCCUGAUCCAGCCAUGCCGCGUGAGUGAUGAAGGCCUUAGGGUUGUAAAGCUCUUUCAGUAGGGAAGAUAAUGACGGUACCUACAGAAGAAGCCCCGGCUAACUUCGUGCCAGCAGCCGAGGUAAUACGAAGGGGGCUAGCGUUGUUCGGAUUUACUGGGCGUAAAGCGCACGUAGGCGGAUUGGUCAGUUAGAGGUGAAAUCCUGGAGCUCAACUCCAGAACUGCCUUUAAUACUGCCAGUCUAGAGUCCAGAAGAGGUGAGUGGAACUCCUAGUGUAGAGGUGGAAUUCGUAGAUAUUAGGAAGAACACCAGUGGCGAAGGCGGCUCACUGGUCUGGUACUGACGCUGAGGUGCGAAAGCGUGGGGAGCAAACAGGAUUAGAUACCCCUGUAGUCC